GGAAAAUUGGAAAACUAGUUUCUAGUUCUUCAAUUGAAAAAGGGUACAUGCGAACACAAAACUUUGUUUUCCAGUUUUAUUAGAAAACUUUCCCAUAAAACUAUCUCAGUUUCCCACAAGCGAACAGGUCUUUAAGUCCUCCACAAAUAGUCUCCUUUUUUUUAUCUUUUAAGUAAAGAAAAAUCAUUAAAAGGCACCAAAUGGCCACAAAACAGCUACAAACACAAAGUAAGGAGUCCACAAAAUCUAAAACAGCAUGAGCAUCAUAGCGUCCCUUUUGGAACUCCAGGUCAUCCAUAUCAUACUCUUUGUUUUCUCUUUAAUUUUCUUUUCAGUUAAGAAAAUUCAUUAGGGCACCAAAGGGGCAAAGCCCACAACAAAACACCUACAGGCACAAAAAAAGAGUCUGCAAACCAAAAUCCAGAACAGCAUAAAACAUUGAAAUUGAAUUGUCUCGCACAAUAGUACUAAUCUACAUAACUAUAAGAAUAUAGAGGUGUUUUUACCCCUCAGCUCUUCUAUUUCCCUCCCUCCAAAAGCCAAUAUAUACAUAGUAAAGGAUCAAAGAAAAAUUUUUUCUUGUUUUCUUUUUGAGUGUGCAUACUCUGAGCCCACAACUUAUUCUAAGCUAAAACUGCAAAUGCAAUAGAGCAUGCAUUGCAUAGUCCCACAAUAAUCUAGUCCACUCGCUGCUCGCAAUCCAAAAGCAUGAGUUGAUGAUUGUUAAUACUAAAAAAAUUAUCUCCCACAUCACCACCCAAUUGUUUUUUUCCCCUUUUUAACAGUGUUGUCACCAGGCGGCGGGCGCUCGCCUAGGCACCUGGGCGAGGCGAAAUCCAGGCACCUC
rnacentral:misc_RNA from 1 species